rnacentral:rRNA from 1 species
CCUACGUGAGGCUGCAGUGAGGAAUAUUGGUCAAUGGCCGGAAGGCUGAACCAGCCAUGCCGCGUGAAGGUCAGUGCCCUAUGGGCGUUAAACUUCUUUUGUGCGGGAGCAAUAAUGGUCACGUGUGGCCAGACGAGAGUACCGUACGAAUAAGAAUCGGCUACCUCCGUGCCAGCAGCCGCGGUAAUACGGGGGAUGCAAGCGUUAUCCGGAUUUAUUGGGUUUAAAGGGUGCUUAGGCUGUGAGGUAAGUCAGCGGUGAAAUGCCCCCGCUCAACGGGGUGAAGUGCCAUUGAUACUGCCUUGCUGGAAUGCGGAUGCCGUGGGAGGAAUGUGUGGUGUAGCGGUGAAAUGCAUAGAUAUCACACAGAACACCGAUUGCGAAGGCAUCUCACGAAUCCGCGAUUGACGCUGAUGCACGAAAGCGUGGGUAUCAAACAGGAUUAGAUACCCCAGUAGUC